GGAAGGGGUGUAUUUAUUAGAUAAAAAAUCAAUGCUCUUCUGAGCUCUUUAUGAUUCAUAAUAACUUUUCGAAUCGCAUGACUUCGUGUCGGCGAUGGUUCAUUCAAAUUUCUGCCCUAUCAACUCUCGAUGGUAGGAUAGUGGCCUACCAUGGUUUCAACGGGUAACGGGGAAUAAGGGUUCGAUUCCGGAGAGGGAGCCUGAGAAACGGCUACCACAUCCAAGGAAGGCAGCAGGCGCGCAAAUUACCCAAUCCUAAUUCAGGGAGGCAGUGACAAUAAAUAACGAUACAGGGCCCAUUUGGGUCUUGUAAUUGGAAUGAGUACAAUGUAAAUACCUUAACGAGGAACAAUUGGAGGGCAAGUCUGGUGCCAGCAGCC
rnacentral:rRNA from 1 species